AUCCCUUCUUCCUGAGUCCGCCGCCGCCAGCCAUCCGACGGAGGCAACAAGCGCCGCCGCCAGUCGCGAGUCGACAAACGAACGGAGCAUGUCGACCGGGCGGCGGCCGCUCUCGCUCCUGCGGGACGCUCAUUUCGCUCCGGCAGGUCAUCUCGCCGCAGCCCCGCCUGCGAGGAGCUUCAACCUGCGCCACGCGGCCGCCGGCGCAGCGUCCACCUCAGGUUUUGCCGAACCUAAUAAUAACCGGCGAAUGUACGCUGCUUAAGAGGACGCGGGCCUUCAGUCGUGCGAUCGAUCCGCAACCCGGCCACACAUGUGUGCUCGCGAUGCGAUAAUACAAGCUGACAUGUGAGACGUCUAUUGGGUCGCCUUGAGCUCUGACCGCGCGUAGUGGAGUCCUACGUGUUUUGACGGUAAACUGUUAUUACGAAUUGAGUGGUAUUUCUCAAAUGGAACCGCUAGGAAUCAGACUACUGAUUCUUAGCUUCCCAUCAGACAAGUGUUCCACCGUACGAUUGGAUUCAUCUGGAACGUGCAAUCAGCCAGAAAAAAGGAGCUUCUUUAGUUUCCAUGUAAUGAUUUAUUAAUGGCGAUCUAUUUUGUAGUAA